CCUACGGGAGGCAGCAGUGGGGAAUAUUGGACAAUGGGCGAAAGCCUGAUCCAGCAAUGCCGCGUGAGUGAAGAAGGCCUUCGGGUUGUAAAGCUCUUUUACCCGGGAAGAUAAUGACCGUACCGGGAGAAUAAGCCCCGGCUAACUCCGUGCCAGCAGCCGCGGUAAUACGGAGGGGGCUAGCGUUGUUCGGAAUCACUGGGCGUAAAGCGUGCGUAGGCGGCCAUUCAAGUCAGAGGUGAAAGCCCAGGGCUCAACCCUGGAACUGCCUUUGAAACUAGGUGGCUGGAACACGGGAGAGGUGAGUGGAAUUCCGAGUGUAGAGGUGAAAUUCGUAGAUAUUCGGAAGAACACCAGUGGCGAAGGCGGCUCACUGGACCGUUGUUGACGCUGAGGCACGAAAGCGUGGGGAGCAAACAGGAUUAGAUACCCUGGUAGUCCACGCCGUAAACGAUGAUAACUAGCUGUUGGGGCUCUUUGAGCUCCAGUGGCGCAGCUAACGCAUUAAGUUAUCCGCCUGGGGAGUACGGCCGCAGGUUAAAACUCAAAUGAAUUGACGGCUGAGAGNGCGAGCGACGACGAGGAGUAG
rnacentral:rRNA from 1 species